rnacentral:misc_RNA from 1 species
GCCUAGUGUUGCUCAGAUGCAGUGGCAUAGAAAACUCAUGGGAGAGUGCUGCCUUGCCUUUGGUUCGAUGAAUGAUCUCAAUCCACAGCGUGUUCUCAGAUGGAUCUCGUGGGUUAAGCCACCAGACAAUGACCUUCCUUCUAAGGAGCCAAAACGCGGUUUAGAAGCUUUAAGAUCCGUCUUUUCAUGCAACUGAAAGGUGCUCGAUCAGAUCUUUCUCCUAGUCUCAUUGGACUUCGGCUUCUUCUUAG